UACGAAGGGGGCUAGCGUUGCUCGGAAUCACUGGGCGUAAAGGGUGCGUAGGCGGGUUUUAAGUCAGAGGUGAAAUCCUGGAGCUCAACUCCAGAACUGCCUUUGAUACUGAAAGUCUUGAGUAUGGGGGAGGUGAGUGGAACUGCGAGUGUAGAGGUGAAAUUCGUAGAUAUUCGCAAGAACACCAGUGGCGAAGGCGGCUCACUGGCCCGAUACUGACGCUGAGGCACGAAAGCGUGGGGAGCAAACAGG
rnacentral:rRNA from 1 species